rnacentral:rRNA from 1 species
AUUGAACGCUGGCGGCAGGCCUAACACAUGCAAGUCGAGCGGAUGAAGGGAGCUUGCUCCUGGAUUCAGCGGCGGACGGGUGAGUAAUGCCUAGGAAUCUGCCUGGUAGUGGGGGAUAACGUCCGGAAACGGGCGCUAAUACCGCAUACGUCCUGAGGGAGAAAGUGGGGGAUCUUCGGACCUCACGCUAUCAGAUGAGCCUAGGUCGGAUUAGCUAGUUGGUGGGGUAAAGGCCUACCAAGGCGACGAUCCGUAACUGGUCUGAGAGGAUGAUCAGUCACACUGGAACUGAGACGCGGUCCAGACUCCUACGGGAGGCAGCAGUGGGGAAUAUUGGACGAUGGGCGAAAGGCUGAUCCAGCCAUGCCGCGUGUUUGAAGAAGGUCUUCGGAUUUGAAAGCACUUUAAGUUGGGAGGAAGGGCAGUAAGUUAAUAACUUGCUGUUUUGACGUUACCAACAGAAUAAGCACCGGCUAACUUCGUG